AGCGGGCUUUGAAGGUGGCUGAGGUUUAACAUGUAAGAAUAAAUACACAAUUUUUUAUGAAUAAAUUCCAUUUUAGGGGGUCCUUCUUCAUAUAACUUCUCCCUUUCCCAAGAUUAAUUUCCUCGAAUAAAAUCAUGCCUGUAAGUAUUAAAAAGACCAUCUUCUGUACUUCACUCCCCUUUUCUCAGUUCAGCCUUUGUCUACAUUUGCAAUAAUUGUCUACAUUCUCUAUCCCUAUUUUUCAUAUCACCCCUUUUCCUAUGGACCCACCACAACUCCACCUGAGCCCCAUUUCCUUUGCCCUUGGAUAGUUCAAGCUAUGAUUUCAAGCCUCAUCUUAUUUGAUGCCUCUGCUGCAUUGACUCUAUAUAUUGAUUGCCUCCUCCCUCUGGAAAUUCCUUACUUUUUACUACAUAGCUGCUUCUUACUCUGUGUAAUGAACAGAAGUUCUCUCUUGCAGAUUUAGUGGCAGGAAAUUGCUGGUCUUCUUGGUUUUGCUAAAGCUGUGUUGUGUUUUGCAGGUAGCCAGUGGCUUUUGGAGAAUGUGUACAGUUUAGUAGGUAGCAAAAUGUAAAAGGCACAGUGUGUAGGGGGUGGUAGCAGAUAUAAAUCCAUAGGUAUGUAAAAUAUUUCAAGAAUUGGUGAAUGGGGAAACUAAUUGUUUUAAUGGAAAGUAGUGGCUUAGAUAAAAAGAGGUUAAUUAAUCAUAUUACUGAAAUAUUGAAAUCCAUAUUAGGACCUAAUAGAACCAAGUUUUUAGCAUUCCAGAGACAUAAAGGACGAUUAACAGGACAGAAUUAAAUAAUCCAGAGACCAGGGACUUGACUUCUCACCUAUUAUUUUCUUCCUUAUUAGUCUGAAAAAUUUGUAUUUCCACAAUUUAAAAUCAUUCAUUAAUCUCUGUAGUGAUUCUUUAUCUUGUUAUCACCUUUAUUUUUGUCAGAUUUUGUGAAUAAUUUCCUGGCUUCUUUAGGGGAGGUUCAGCAGGCCUUAUCAUUCACUAUGAAGAAUGGCCAGCUGGUCUCCCUUUUUGUAUAGGUAGGAACCUACUUCUCCUGGCCUCAAUGUAUUUUUAAAAUAAUAAUUUUAGUCUUCUGUAGCUUCUGAGGGUUCCCAAGUACACAUCACAGGUAUGGCAGUCCCUGAUGAAUGUCCAUUUUCUCCUUCUGGUGUAGAAUUUUCACUAUUCCAUCCUCAUCUUGUGGGAAACAGUCAUCAUACUGAUUUGUUCACUGUUAACUGACAUAAAUAUGCAAUUUUUAAUAACUAAUUUUUAAUUAAUAU